GAUGAACGCUGGCGGCGUGCUUAACACAUGCAAGUCGAACGAUGAAGCCCAGCUUGCUGGGUGGUUUCGUGGCGAACGGGUGAGUAACACGUGAGUAACCUGCCCUUAACUCUGGGUUAAGCCUGGUAAACUGGGUCUAGUUCCGGCCAGGAGCGUCCUCCGCAUGGAUGGUUUUGGAAAGAUUUAUCGGUUUUGGAUGGCCUCUCGGCGUAUCCGCUAGUUGGUGAGGUAAUGGCUCACCAAGGCCACGCCGGGUAGCCGGCAUGAGAGGGGGAACGGCGACAAGAGGACUGAGAGACGGAGCAGAAUCGAACGGGAGGCAGUAGUGGGGAGUAUGGCACAAUGGGCGCAAGCGUGAUGCAGCGACGCCGCGUGAGGGAUGACGGCCUUCGGGUUGUAAACAACUGUCAGUAGGGAAGAAGAGAAAGUGACGGUACCUGCAGAAGAAGCACCGGCUAACUACGUG
rnacentral:rRNA from 1 species